ACCCCCUCCCUGUGGUGCUUGAAUGAUCACACUCCUUAUCCACUUUCAUGCUCCUCCCGUACUCCUGGCUCCUCUUUGAAGUUCGUAGUAGAUAGCGGUAGAAGAAAUAGUGAAAGUCUUAAAGUCUUUGAUCGUUCUUCUAAGUGCAGAGAAGAAAAUGCUGACAUAUGCUGCCUUCUCUCUUUGCUUCGGCUGCCUAAGAGGGAAGGGCCCCCUGUCCUAUGAUCACGUGACUUGCUUCACUUUAUCACUUAGAAGAUUCACCCUCCUUACCCUGCCCCCUUGUCUUGUAUGCAAUAAAUAUCAGCGCACCUAGGCGCUCAGGGCCACUACCGGUCUCCACGUCUUGAUGGUAGUGGUCCCCCGGGGCCCAGCUGCUCUUUAUCUCGUGUCUUUAUUACAAUCUCUGGUCUCUGCACACGGGGAGGACACCUGCUAAGCCCCCGUAGGGCUGGACCCUACAGAAAACCACACCCCUCUCUUGCCCUGCUCCUUAGUUACCUCCACCUUUACCUUCCCCUUUGCAGCAAAUUGACCUGAAAGAGAAGUUGGUGUUCACAGCCCCUGCGUGCUCUCUGCUCACUCUCCAAACUCCAGCCCCUGGCCCCAGCGCCGCUGGCCCUCGUCCGCAGCAAAUCCUGGCAACUCCGCC
rnacentral:lncRNA from 10 species